CAAGCGGUAGUUCCUAGGUAGAGCUCCCGCUUCGUAUGCGGGAAGACAUGGGUUCGAUUCUCGGCCGCUUAC
rnacentral:tRNA from 1 species